UUUUUUUUUUUUUUCUUCCUAGUAUAGUGCUUCUUCCCCAAUAAGAAGGCAUGAUUCUGAGUGCAGGGGUCUGGCUAUUAUCUCCCCAACAUAUAAUGCCUUGUUUUGUACAUAGUAGAUGCUCACUAAAUACUUAUGGAAAACAGCACUACACAUGUCUUGGCUAAAGUGAUGAGGGAAAUGAAGUAAGAUAGAAUGAGAAUAGAGGAUUCUCUCUUUACUUCAGAAAAGUCUUAUUGGAAUUACUUCAAAUUUCUGCUGCCUUUUGCAAUGACAUGGAGGGCAGAACGGCAGCCAAUAUUCCUCUGAAUGAAAACUCAGACACCGCGUAGACUAGCCCCUUCUAGGUUUUUUGAUGAUCAUUAGGUAUCUCCUGGUCUGGUCCUUUUUGCUUGAGGAGUUGACCACCUUUCCUGAAAUUAUUAUUCUUUUUCUCUUCUAUUACGCUUGUCUGAUGUGGCACUUGUAUUUUAAUGCCUUACAGAUAAAAUGGUCUCCGUCAGUCUGCACUUCUCAUGCCUGGAGAAAGUUUUAUUACUUCAUAAACUUCUGUAAUGCCCCAGUGUUUAAAAAAGAUCUAUCACUCUAUCAGUGGGUCUUUAUGGGCUCAGUGUACAUUUUUGUUUUUGUUUUUGUUUUUAUAAUGCAAGGUUGGUUCCUGAAGCAAAAAAAGAGACAGGAAUAAAUGGAUUUUUGUAUGUUAACAAAUGUCAAGAAUCCAGCUCAAUUUAUACUGAGGUGGUAUUAAAUAGCUAAAUCAAAUUGUAGAAUAUUUCACAGGCAAUAGCAUUAAGCACUGGGAAGGAACUGUAAUAUAAGAUUUCCUCUUUAUCAGUGAUUACGGAAAUAUAACUCUCUUAUUCACUGGCUUGUGCUGGAGAAUCUUUAUAGUUGCUGUGUGUUGAUUUUUUUCCCUCCUGACAGAUGCUCAGAGGCCCCAUGCCUGAUGAGUCAGUGGACAGGGAACAUUGAACAUGACCCGCUUCUGCCACCCGUUCCACACCAAACAACUCUGUGUGGCCUACAAAAUCCUUUAAAGGCAUGUUUUCAAGAUGUAAGCUGAAGGAAGACAUGUCAGAUUUCAGGCAUGAAAUUUCUCUCUCUAAUCUGUUUUAGGACUGUGUUAGCCACAAGCUGAAGAUUUCUGUCAAGGAUGUUUCUGCAAGCGUGCAUGCAUGUAUGUGUGUGUGUGUAUGUGUGUGAUUAUGCAUAUAGGAACAUGUGUGCACUGGGGAUGUCUGUAUGUAUGCAGGUGAUCCCAAAUGGCCUGGCGAAAAGGUAUCUUAUCCAUAGUGUGGGAGGUCCCAAGUUGCUGCUUCUCUCUGAGAAGCUGCUGAGUUGCCACCUGCGUGGCUGUGAGUGUGGGCAGCAAUUCAGUCUCCUAUCAUUCCAGGCAUCUGCAGGGAGAAUAAGAAAACCAUCACCUGUCCUGUGGCCAGGAAGGUGGGAAUAGCUUGAUUACCUGUUGGUGGUACUCAUACCAAAUAAACAUGUAACUGCCACUUCACUCCCGAUUUCUCUACGAUAGUACAUGGAAACCUUAUUUUCAGAAGCUUUCAGUGAGUAAAUGAGCAUCUGUUUCUGCACUGCUGAACAAUUUGCCGUGUUUUGUUCAGAAAGUAUUUACUAAGUAGUUUAUUUAUGCUCUAUGCUUUGAUAACAGC
ensembl:lncRNA